ACCCGGCUGACGAGUCUCAAAUAGGACGAAACGCGCGUCCUGGAU
rnacentral:hammerhead_ribozyme from 1 species